UACGUAGGGGGCAAGCGUUGUCCGGAAUUAUUGGGCGUAAAGCGCGCGCAGGCGGUCAUUUAAGUUGGGUGUUUAAAGCCGGGGCUCAACCCCGGUGCGCAUCCGAAACUGGGUGACUUGAGUGUAGGAGAGGAAAGUGGAAUUCCACGUGUAGCGGUGAAAUGCGUAGAGAUGUGGAGGAACACCAGUGGCGAAGGCGACUUUCUGGCCUAUAACUGACGCUGAGGCGCGAGAGCGUGGGGAGCAAACAGG
rnacentral:rRNA from 1 species